CCUACGGGAGGCAGCAGUAGGGAAUCUUCCGCAAUGGACGAAAGUCUGACGGAGCAACGCCGCGUGAGCGAAGAAGGCCUUCGGGUCGUAAAGCUCUGUUGUUAGGGAAGAACAAGUAUCGGAGUAACUGCCGGUACCUUGACGGUACCUAACCAGAAAGCCACGGCUAACUACGUGCCAGCAGCCGCGGUAAU
rnacentral:rRNA from 1 species